UACGUAGGGGGCGAGCGUUGUCCGGAGUUACUGGGCGUAAAGGGCACGCAGGCGGUGCGGCGCGUUUCGCGUGACAGCGGAGGGCUUAACUCUCCGAGGAUGCGAAAGACGGCGGCACUUGAGGGCCAGAGAGGGACACGGAAUUCCGGGUGGAGUGGUGAAAUGCGUAGAGAUCCGGAGGAACACCGAAGGCGAAGGCAGUGUCCUGGCUGGUGACUGACGCUGAGGUGCGAAAGCGUGGGGAGCAAACAGG
rnacentral:rRNA from 1 species